rnacentral:lncRNA from 1 species
UCCGGACAUCGGGUAUCAUUGCUAGAUGGUCACUUUGAUUCGUAUAAAAAUUUAUUUUGAUACUAUCGAUUUAGGUUCAAACUUAUGAGGUUACACACAUAAGAAGUACUUCUCCGAUCAUAUGACUGAUCGAUGAUUAAGAAUCAUUCAAGGAUAAAAUCAUCAAUACGAUUGAUGAUUAAUCCUAAGCAAUAGUUGUAGUAAAUUAAUU